UCCCUGGUGGUCCAGCGGCUAGGACUCCAUGCUCCCAAUGCAGGGAAUCCAGGUUCGAUCCCUGGGUCAGGGAA
rfam:Ovis aries breed Texel chromosome 17, whole genome shotgun sequence.